UACGUAGGCAGCAAGCGUUGUUCGGAAUUACUGGGCGUAAAGAGUGUGUAGGCGGUGCUCUAAGUUCGGUGUGAAAUCUCCGGGCUUAACCCGGAAAGGUCAGCCGAAACUGCGGGGCUAGAGUGCAGAAGGGGCAACUGGAAUUCUCGGUGUAGCGGUGAAAUGCGUAGAUAUCGGGAGGAACACCUGUGGCGAAAGCG
rnacentral:rRNA from 1 species